UUACCCACUGUCUAAUUUUCAACUUUUUCUUACUUGUUGUUUCUGUCAAUAUGUUCGUAACCCAUUUUUUAUUUUUUGUUUUAGAUAAACAGCAUCCUGUUUCAUUGGAGAUACCACCAAUGGUCCAAUGUCGGUCGAGUUACGAAUCUCUUGUUCCCCUUUCUUUAAAUACCCUCUGUGUCCUCGUGUACACCCGUGUGUGUGUGGGUGUAUUCAUGAGGACGUCCUUUUUCCCAUCCCCCCUGGUGGAUUCAACUUUUCUGUGGAUGGAGCAGCACUUUGUGGAUGCCUGGCCGUAUUUCACAGGCAUAAAGGUGAUUUGCCCGCGGUAUGGCCUAACGGAACCAGAAUAGGACGCAGACUUGUCACGUUCACACCUAUUUAAUAUGUACAGCAGCUGCAGCUUGAAAGGAGGUGAUGCUGUGUGUGUGUGUUACUCUCUUGUCGGUUACCGACUUUGGCGACCCACUGUGCGAUUACGAGGUAAAGUCUGUCCCGAAGGUGCUAUCAUUUCGUGCACGUCGUAAAAUUUAUUACGUACUAGUUAGUCCUAAUAUGGAUGAAUGAAUUUUUUCUCCUCCCUAAAAUAAAGCAGUCGGGAAAAUCCCUCUGUCUGCUUUCCAGGAAAUUCGUUCAACACCUCAUCAGGAGGUUGUUAAUUAUUUAGAUCCUGGAUCAAACAACCGUCAUCUUUGUAGUCCAUACAAUCAAAUUCUAGUAGUACCAUGCAACUUAAUAUUUAGAAUAGUUUUUACCGUGUGGGUGGCCUUCGUAUAUGAUUCAUGAUCAAGUCCGAGAUGUGGCAAAUGUUGAUUAAGAACAAGAAAGAAAGUGCACUAAACACAGUCCAUCCCGAUGCAAACCUGUAGUGGUGACCAUAUGACCGCUAUCUGGAAACCUAAUGCUCUUGUUGGAUAUGUCGGCAUCUCGGGGAGACCCGCAAUCAUCCGCCAAAACAAAAACUUCAAAGCCCCAUGAAGAUGGUAACUCGGUACUUCUGCUGCAGGUCAUAUCAGGCCUCACUUUCUAAUGUUUUUCUUUUGUUUUUUUUCCGGACGGAGGGAGGGGGAGUUUCAAAUCUGUUCAGUCGUUAACCUUAUCACUUAUAUAGAUGGUCCAGUUCUUUAAGUCGUUGAGCCAAAGAAGACCUCUGAGGACAAACACGGCAGCACUGGAACCCACCAGCAAAUAUUUCUCCGCUGGAAAGAUUCAUCCCACGCUGAAGCCCAGAGGUUUGCGCGCGCUUACCAUCCAGCGGCCUUAUGGGACUGUCUACACCUUUUUGGAGGAGUCAACGAUGGGAGGGAGCUGUUGAACUAUAAAAGGGGAUCUCGUCGGAGUCAACGUGACAGACACCUUCUACCUGUGAUUGGUUGUACCACUCAAAUAGGGUGAACUAUUUCAAUUUCGUGUAAGUUAUUACAUUGAGCUUCGUCCCUUCCGUUUGACAUCAACCAACUUCCUCCGCACCGCAAUUGUUCAGGAUCACUACACUUCAAGCACUUCAACUUCAAAUCAACUCCGAUCCGUG
rnacentral:lncRNA from 1 species